rnacentral:tRNA from 1 species
GCCCCCAUAGUCUAGCGGUUAGGACGCCACCCUUUCAAGGUGGAAGCCGCGGGUUCGAACCCCGCUGGGGGUACCA